CAAAACAUAAAUUAAGUGCAGCUGAUAUACAAAUUGAUGAUCUCAAACGAAUUAUCGCUGUUCAACACCGAGAAAUUCAGGGCAAAAAUGAACGGUUAAAAGGAGUAGAGGACUUAACAAGAAUAUGCAGCGAACUGGAAGAAAAACGGCAGAGUUGGCAGACAAAGGCGGACAAUUAUGAAACUGCUUUGAAGCGGGCAGAAGCAAGGAUCGCGAUUUUGAACAAGAAGCUUGGAAUUGGUCCCCAAACGACUUCAGGUAUCGAUGUAGUCAAUCCUGGCAUUUCAAGAAAAGAUUUUGAUGCAGUUACCAAAGAGAAUAUCGGGUUAAAAGAAGCGUUGGAACAUAUCGUGCCGACAGAAUUGAGCGG